rnacentral:rRNA from 1 species
AAAGCUCUUUCGGGAGUUAGUAAAGUGGCGGACGAGUUAAUAACACGUGAGAAUCUACCCCUCAGUGAAGAAUACCCUCGAGAAAUCGAGGCUAAUGCUGCAUACGUCUCUACAGAGAGAUCUGUUUAGAGAAAGGUGGCCUCUUUGCUGCCGCUGAGGGAUGAGCUUGCGCACUAUUAGUUAGUUGGUGGGGUAAAGGCCUACCAAGACUAUGAUGGUUAGCCGGCCUGAGAGGGUGUACGGCAACGCUGGAACUUAGACACGGUCCAGACUCCUACGGGGGGCAGCAGUGAGGAAUAUUGCGCAAUGGGCGAAAGCCUGACGCAGCGACGCCGCGUGGAGGAUGAAGGUCUUCGGAUUGUAAACUUCUGUUAAGUGGGAAGAAAGACUCUCUUCUAAUAAAAGAGAGGGAUGACUGUACCAUUAGAGAAAGCACCGGCUAACUUCGUGCCAGCAGCCGCGGUAAUACGAAGGGUGCGAGCGUUAUUCGGAUUUAUUGGGCGUAAAGGGUGUGUAGGUGGUAUUCUAAGUCAGCUGUUAAAGACCCCGGCCUAACUGGGGAUAUGCGGCAGAUACUGGUUUACUAGAGGAAGGAAGAGAGAAGUGGAAUUCUCGGAGUAGCGGUAAAAUGCGUGGAUCUCGAGAGGAACACUAAUGGCGAAGGCAGCUUCUUGGUCCUUUUCUGACACUGAAACACGAAAGCGUGGGGAGCAAACAGGAUUAGAUACCCUGGUAGUCUACGCUGUAAACGAUGAUCACUAGACGUCAGACCUGUUUUUACAGGAUUGGUGUCGUAGCUAACGCGUUAAGUGAUCCGCCUGGGGACUACGGUCGCAAG